AAAUGUAGUUCUAUUUCUUAGCAUUCUUGAAUAACUGUUUAUUACAGAACGGAUUUCUGACUGGACCAAUGUAGUUCUGGCCUAUGAGCCAGUUUGGGCAAUUGGAACAGGGAAGGUUGCUACUCCAGCUCAGGCUCAAGAGGUGCACUCUGAAUUAAGAAAAUGGCUUCAGAUAAAUGUGAGUGUUGAGAUUGCAGAAUCAACCAGGAUCAUUUAUGGAGGUUCUGUAAAUG